GUCAGGAUGGCCGAGUGGUUUAAGGCGCCAGACUCAAGUUCUGGUCCUCUAACGGGGCGUGGGUUCAAAUCCCACUUCUGACA
rnacentral:tRNA from 1 species